rnacentral:rRNA from 1 species
AGUGAACGCUGGCGGUAGGCCUAACACAUGCAAGUCGAACGGCAGCACAGUAAGAGCUUGCUCUUACGGGUGGCGAGUGGCGGACGGGUGAGGAAUACAUCGGAAUCUACUUUUUCGUGGGGGAUCACGUAGGGAAACUUACUCUAAUACCGCAUACGACCUACGGGUGAAAGCAUGGGAUCUUCGGACCUUGCGCGAUUGAAUGAGCCGAUGUCGGAUUAGCUAGUUGGCGGGGUAAAGGCCCACCAAGGCGACGAUCCGUAGCUGGUCUGAGAGGAUGAUCAGCGACACUGGAACUGAGACACGGUCAAGACUCCUACGGGAGGCAGCAGUGGGGAAUAUUGGACAAUGGGCGCAAGCCUGAUACAGCCAUACCGCGUGGGUGAAGAAGGCCUUCGGGUUGUAAAGCCCUUUUGUUGGGAAAGAAAAGCAGCAGGUUAAUACCCAGCUGUUCUGACGGUACCCAAAGAAUAAGCACCGGCUAACUUCGUG